CCUACGGGUGGCUGCAGUGAGGAAUAUUGGUCAAUGGGCGCGAGCCUGAACCAGCCAAGUCGCGUGAAGGAUGACGGUCCUAUGGAUUGUAAACUUCUUUUGUGCAGGAAUAAAGUGAGGAACGUGUUCCUUUUUGUAUGUACUGUACGAAUAAGCAUCGGCUAACUCCGUGCCAGCAGCCGCGGUAAUACGGAGGAUGCGAGAGUUAUCCGGAUUAAUUGGGUUGUAAGGGUGCUGAGGCGGCAGGAUAGAAAGUUUGCAGCUUAACUGUAAAAUUGCCAUUGAAACUGUUAGUCUUGAGUGCAAAUGAGGUAGGCGGAAUGUGUUGUGUAGCGGUGAAAUGCUUAGAUAUAACACAGAACUCCGAUUGCGAAGGCAGCUUACUGGGAUGCAACUGACGCUGAUGCACGAAAGCGUGGGUAUCAAACAGGAUUAGAUACCCUUGUAGUC
rnacentral:rRNA from 1 species